AGCCUAGUGGUGUAUGGUGCACGCCUGCCAUUCUUUCAUUGCCAAAAUUGCCAUUACUACGCAGGAGGACCCGGUUCGAUUCUGGGCUAGGCCA